GUAAAUCUGACAAGUAGUUUUGGAGAAAUGCUGCGGACAAGUUCAUUUUUAAAGUGGCGGAAGAAGAAGAGGAAGAAGAGGAAGAAGAGGAAGAAGAAGAAUAAUAAAAAUAAGAAGAACUGAGCAAAAACAAUAAGUCUCCAAACUUUGUUUGGGAGACUUAAUUAAAAAGGGGGAAUGAUAUUAAAAAUCGAAUAAGUAACGAAUAAGGAAUAGGGA
rnacentral:lncRNA from 1 species